rnacentral:misc_RNA from 1 species
AACGCACAUUGCGCCCGCCAGUACUCUGGCGGGCAUGCCUGUCCGAGCGUCAUUUCAACCCUCAAGCCCCGCUUGGUGUUGGGGUCCUACGGCUGCCGUAGGCCCUGAAAGUUAGUGGCGGGCUCGCUAUAACUCCGAGCGUAGUAGUAACAUAUCUCGCUAGGGAGGUGUCGCGGGUUCCGGCCGUGAAAGCCCCAUCUUUUACACAAGGUUGACCUCGGAUCAGGUAGGAAUACCCGCUGAACUUAA